rnacentral:misc_RNA from 1 species
GCAAUCCUUUAUUAGUCGAACAUCGUACGGUCUUGUAACGGUAAGAUGACAAGAGUUCUGUUGCUGACGUUGGUUUUAUUCUUUGGCCUGAUGAUUACGAUGGCGAGCGGACGCAUUCUUAUGCUCAAGGAGUUAUCUGAAGCCGAUACAGACAUAAUCUGCAGUCCUGAUUGCGAUUAAACUUGUCUACAUAUCGGAUUAAAUCGUGGAGGAAUGUGUCGUUACCAGCAAAUGUCGUCUUCAAUGUGACUAUAUUUGUACUUUUCAGAGACAGAGGGGCUAGUGGCCUAUUUGAUGCUGACCACGAACUCAAAAAACUUUACUUUGAUGUUAAACUUAAAUUCUGCAUAUUUUAAAACAGAAGUACCAAUCAGAAUCAUAGCCUAUUAAAAAAUUUGGAUGUUUGUCAAAAUGAAAUGGAUAAAUGGAUUUUAAAAAUAAAACACGAAUAAUU